rnacentral:rRNA from 1 species
ACGAACGCUGGCGGCGUGCUUAACACAUGCAAGUCGAACGGAAAGGCCCUGCUUUUGUGGGGUGCUCGAGUGGCGAACGGGUGAGUAACACGUGAGUAACCUGCCCUUGACUUUGGGAUAACUUCAGGAAACUGGGGCUAAUACCGGAUAGGAGCUCCUGCUGCAUGGUGGGGGUUGGAAAGUUUCGGCGGUUGGGGAUGGACUCGCGGCUUAUCAGCUUGUUGGUGGGGUAGUGGCUUACCAAGGCUUUGACGGGUAGCCGGCCUGAGAGGGUGACCGGCCACAUUGGGACUGAGAUAGGGCCCAGACUCCUACGGGAGGCAGAAGUGGGGAAUAUUGCACAAUGGGCGGAAGCCUGAUGCAGCAACGCCGCGUGCGGGAUGACGGCCUUCGGGUUGUAAACCGCUUUAGCCUGUGACGAAGCGUGAGUGACGGUAAUGGGUAAAGAAGCACCGGCUAACUACGUG